ensembl:lncRNA
AGUACACAACCAUUUACUGUCCUUUACCAUACAGUACACAACCAUUUACUGUCCUUUACCAUACAGUACACAACCAUUUACUGUCCUUUACCAUACAGUACACAACCAUUUACUGUCCUUUACCAUACAGUACACAACCAUUUACUGUCCUUUACCAGACAGUACACAACCAUUUACUGUCCUUUACCAUACAGUACACAACCACUUACUGUCCUUUAUCAGACAGUACACAACCAUUUACUGUCCUUUACCAUACAGUACACAACCAUUUACUGUCCUUUACCAUACAGUACACAACCAUUUACUGUCCUUUACCAUACAGUACACAACCAUUUACUGUCCUUUACCAUACAGUACACAACCAUUUACUGUCCUUUACCAGACAGUACACAACCACUUACUGUCCUUUACCAUACAGUACACAACCAUUUACUGUCCUUUACCAUACAGUACACAACCAUUUACUGUCCUUUACCAUACAGUACACAACCAUUUACUGUCCUUUACCAUACAGUACACAACCAUUUACUGUCCUUUACCAUACAGUACACAACCAUUUACUGUCCUUUACCAUACAGUACACAACCAUUUACUGUCCUUUACCAGACAGUACACAACCACUUACUGUCCUUUACCAUACAGUACACAACCAUUUACUGUCCUUUACCAUACAGUACACAACCAUUUACUGUCCUUUACCAUACAGUACACAACCAUUUACUGUCCUUUACCAUACAGUACACAACCAUUUACUGUCCUUUACCAUACAGUACACAACCAUUUACUGUCCUUUACCAUACAGUACACAACCAUUUACUGUCCUUUACCAUACAGUACACAACCAUUUACUGUCCUUUACCAUACAGUACACAACCAUUUACUGUCCUUUACCAUACAGUACACAACCAUUUACUGUCCUUUACCAUACAGUACACAACCAUUUACUGUCCUUUACCAUACAGUACACAACCAUCUACAGUCCUUUACCAUACAGUACACAACCAUCUACAGUCCUUUACCAUACAGUACACAACCAUUUACUGUCCUUUACCAUACAGUACACAACCAUCUACAGUCCUUUACCAUACAGUACACAACCAUUUACUAUCCUUUACCAUACAGUACACAACCAUUUACUGUCCUUUACCAUACAGUACACAACCAUUUACUGUCCUUUACCAUACAGUACACAACCAUUUACUGUCCUUUACCAUACAGUACACAACCAUUUACUGUCCUUUACCAUACAGUACACAACCAUUUACUGUCCUUUACCAUACAGUACACAACCAUUUACUGUCCUUUACCAGACAGUACACAACCAUUUACUGUCCUUUACCAGACAGUACACAACCAUUUACUGUCCUUUACCAGACAGUACACAACCAUUUACUGUCCUUUACCAGACAGUACACAACCAUUUACUGUCCUUUACCAUACAGUACACAACCAUCUACAGUCCUUUACCAUACAGUACACAGCCAUUUACUAUCCUUUACCAUACAGUACACAACCAUUUACUGUCCUUUACCAGACAGUACACAACCAUUUACUGUCCUUUACCAUACAGUACACAACCAUCUACAGUCCUUUACCAGACAGUACACAACCAUUUACUGUCCUUUACCAUACAGUACACAACCAUUUACUGUCCUUUACCAGACAGUACACAACCAUUUACUGUCCUUUACCAUACAGUACACAACCAUCUACAGUCCUUUACCAGACAGUACACAACCAUUUACUGUCCUUUACCAGACAGUACACAACCAUUUACUGUCCUUUACCAUACAGUACACAACCAUUUACUGUCCUUUACCAUACAGAACACAACCAUUUACUGUCCUUUACCAUACAGUACACAACCAUUUACUAUCCUUUACCAUACAGUACACAACCAUUUACUGUCCUUUACCAGACAGUACAGAACCAUUUACUGUCCUUUACCAUACAGUACACAACCAUCUACUGUCCUUUACCAGACAGUACACAACCAUCUACAGUCCUUUACCAUACAGUACACAACCAUUUACUGUCCUUUACCAGACAGUACACAACCAUCUACUGUCCUUUACCAUACAGUACACAACCAUUUACUGUCCUUUCCCAUACAGUACACAACCAUUUACUGUCCUUUACCAUACAGUACACAACCAUUUACUGUCCUUUACCAUACAGUACACAACCAUCUACAGUCCUUUACCAUACAGUACACAACCAUUUACUGUCCUUUACCAUACAGUACACAACCAUCUACUGUCCUUUACCAUACAGUACACAACCAUUUACUGUCCUUUCCCAUACAGUACACAACCAUUUACUGUCCUUUACCAUACAGUACACAACCAUUUACUGUCCUUUACCAUACAGUACACAACCAUCUACUGUCCUUUACCAUACAGUACACAACCAUUUACUGUCCUUUCCCAUACAGUACACAACCAUUUACUGUCCUUUACCAUACAGUACACAACCAUUUACUGUCCUUUACCAUACAGUACACAACCAUCUACAGUCCUUUACCAUACAGUACACAACCAUUUACUGUCCUUUACCAUACAGUACACAACCAUUUACUAUCCUUUACCAUACAGUACACAACCAUUUACUGUCCUUUACCAUACAGUACACAACCAUUUACUGUCCUUUACCAUACAGUACACAACCACUUACUGUCCUUUACCAGACAGUACACAACCAUUUACUGUCCUUUACCAGACAGUACACAACCACUUACUGUCCUUUACCAGACAGUACACAACCAUUUACUGUCCUUUACCAGACAGUACACAACCAUUUACUGUCCUUUACCAUACAGUACACAACCAUCUACAGUCCUUUACCAUACAGUACACAACCAUUUACUGUCCUUUACCAUACAGUACACAACCAUUUACUGUCCUUUAUCAGACAGUACACAACCAUUUACUGUCCUUUACCAGACAGUACACAACCAUUUACUGUCCUUUACCAGACAGUACACAACCAUUUACUGUCCUUUACCAUACAGUACACAACCACUUACUGUCCUUUACCAUACAGUACACAACCAUCUACUGUCCUUUACCAGACAGUACACAACCAUUUACUGUCCUUUACCAUACAGUACACAACCAUUUACUGUCCUUUACCAUACAGUACACAACCAUCUACUGUCCUUUAUCAGACAGUACACAACCAUUUACUGUCCUUUACCAUACAGUACACAACCAUCUACUGUCCUUUACCAGACAGUACACAACCAUUUACUGUCCUUUACCAUACAGUACACAACCACUUACUGUCCUUUACCAUACAGUACACAACCAUUUACUGUCCUUUACCAUACAGUACACAACCAUUUACUGUCCUUUACCAUACAGUACACAACCAUUUAAUGUCCUUUACCAUACAGUACACAACCAUUUACUGUCCUUUACCAUACAGUACACAACCAUCUACUGUCCUUUACCAUACAGUACACAACCAUUUACUGUCCUUUACCAUACAGUACACAACCAUUUACUGUCCUUUACCAUACAGUACACAACCAUUUACUGUCCUUUACCAUACAGUACACAACCAUCUACAGUCCUUUACCAUACAGUACACAACCAUUUACUGUUUUACUGUCCUUUACCAUACAGUACACAACCAUUUACUGUCCUUUACCAUACAGUACACAACCAUCUACUGUCCUUUACCAUACAGUACACAACCAUUUACUGUCCUUUCCCAUACAGUACACAACCAUUUACUGUCCUUUACCAUACAGUACACAACCAUUUACUGUCCUUUACCAUACAGUACACAACCAUCUACAGUCCUUUACCAUACAGUACACAACCAUUUACUGUCCUUUACCAUACAGUACACAACCAUUUACUAUCCUUUACCAUACAGUACACAACCAUUUACUGUCCUUUACCAUACAGUACACAGCCAUUUACUAUCCUUUACCAUACAGUACACAACCAUUUACUGUCCUUUACCAUACAGUACACAACCAUUUACUGUCCUUUACCAUACAGUACACAACCACUUACUGUCCUUUACCAGACAGUACACAACCAUUUACUGUCCUUUACCAGACAGUACACAACCACUUACUGUCCUUUACCAGACAGUACACAACCAUUUACUGUCCUUUACCAUACAGUACACAACCAUCUACAGUCCUUUACCAUACAGUACACAACCAUCUACUGUCCUUUACCAGACAGUCAACAACCAUUUACUGUCCUUUACCAUACAGUACACAACCAUUUACUGUCCUUUACCAUACAGUACACAACCAUCUACUGUCCUUUAUCAGACAGUACACAACCAUUUACUGUCCUUUACCAUACAGUACACAACCAUCUACUGUCCUUUACCAGACAGUACACAACCAUUUACUGUCCUUUACCAUACAGUACACAACCACUUACUGUCCUUUACCAUACAGUACACAACCAUUUACUGUCCUUUACCAUACAGUACACAACCAUUUACUGUCCUUUACCAUACAGUACACAACCAUUUACUGUCCUUUACCAUACAGUACACAACCAUUUACUGUCCUUUACCAUACAGUACACAACCAUCUACUGUCCUUUACCAUACAGUACACAACCAUUUACUGUCCUUUCCCAUACAGUACACAACCAUUUACUGUCCUUUACCAUACAGUACACAACCAUUUACUGUCCUUUACCAUACAGUACACAACCAUCUACAGUCCUUUACCAUACAGUACACAACCAUUUACUGUCCUUUACCAUACAGUACACAACCAUUUACUAUCCUUUACCAUACAGUACACAACCAUUUACUGUCCUUUACCAUACAGUACACAGCCAUUUACUAUCCUUUACCAUACAGUACACAACCAUUUACUGUCCUUUACCAUACAGUACACAACCAUUUACUGUCCUUUACCAUACAGUACACAACCACAUACUGUCCUUUACCAGACAGUACACAACCAUUUACUGUCCUUUACCAGACAGUACACAACCACUUACUGUCCUUUACCAGACAGUACACAACCAUUUACUGUCCUUUACCAUACAGUACACAACCAUCUACAGUCCUUUACCAUACAGUACACAACCAUUUACUGUCCUUUACCAUACAGUACACAACCAUUUACUGUCCUUUACCAUACAGUACACAACCAUUUACUGUCCUUUACCAUACAGUACACAACCAUCUACAGUCCUUUACCAUACAGUACACAACCAUUUACUGUCCUUUACCAUACAGUACACAACCAUUUACUGUCCUUUACCAUACAGUACACAACCAUCUACAGUCCUUUACCAUACAGUACACAACCAUUUACUGUCCUUUACCAUACAGUACACAACCAUUUACUGUCCUUUACCAUACAGUACACAACCAUUUACUGUCCUUUACCAUACAGUACACAACCAUUUACUGUCCUUUACCAUACAGUACACAACCAUUUACUGUCCUUUACCAGACAGUACACAACCACUUACUGUCCUUUACCAUACAGUACACAACCAUUUACUGUCCUUUACCAUACAGUACACAACCAUUUACUGUCCUUUACCAUACAGUACACAACCAUUUACUGUCCUUUACCAUACAGUACACAACCAUUUACUGUCCUUUACCAUACAGUACACAACCAUUUACUGUCCUUUACCAUACAGUACACAACCAUUUACUGUCCUUUACCAUACAGUACACAACCAUUUACUGUCCUUUACCAUACAGUACACAACCAUUUACUGUCCUUUACCAUACAGUACACAACCAUUUACUGUCCUUUACCAUACAGUACACAACCAUUUACUGUCCUUUACCAUACAGUACACAACCAUCUACAGUCCUUUACCAUACAGUACACAACCAUCUACAGUCCUUUACCAUACAGUACACAACCAUUUACUGUCCUUUACCAUACAGUACACAACCAUCUACAGUCCUUUACCAUACAGUACACAACCAUUUACUAUCCUUUACCAUACAGUACACAACCAUUUACUGUCCUUUACCAUACAGUACACAACCAUUUACUGUCCUUUACCAUACAGUACACAACCAUUUACUGUCCUUUACCAUACAGUACACAACCAUUUACUGUCCUUUACCAUACAGUACACAACCAUUUACUGUCCUUUACCAUACAGUACACAACCAUUUACUGUCCUUUACCAGACAGUACACAACCAUUUACUGUCCUUUACCAGACAGUACACAACCAUUUACUGUCCUUUACCAGACAGUACACAACCAUUUACUGUCCUUUACCAGACAGUACACAACCAUUUACUGUCCUUUACCAUACAGUACACAACCAUCUACAGUCCUUUACCAUACAGUACACAGCCAUUUACUAUCCUUUACCAUACAGUACACAACCAUUUACUGUCCUUUACCAGACAGUACACAACCAUUUACUGUCCUUUACCAUACAGUACACAACCAUCUACAGUCCUUUACCAGACAGUACACAACCAUUUACUGUCCUUUACCAGACAGUACACAACCAUUUACUGUCCUUUACCAUACAGUACACAACCAUUUACUGUCCUUUACCAUACAGAACACAACCAUUUACUGUCCUUUACCAUACAGUACACAACCAUUUACUAUCCUUUACCAUACAGUACACAACCAUUUACUGUCCUUUACCAGACAGUACAGAACCAUUUACUGUCCUUUACCAUACAGUACACAACCAUCUACUGUCCUUUACCAGACAGUACACAACCAUCUACAGUCCUUUACCAUACAGUACACAACCAUUUACUGUCCUUUACCAGACAGUACACAACCAUCUACUGUCCUUUACCAUACAGUACACAACCAUUUACUGUCCUUUCCCAUACAGUACACAACCAUUUACUGUCCUUUACCAUACAGUACACAACCAUUUACUGUCCUUUACCAUACAGUACACAACCAUCUACAGUCCUUUACCAUACAGUACACAACCAUUUACUGUCCUUUACCAUACAGUACACAACCAUCUACUGUCCUUUACCAUACAGUACACAACCAUUUACUGUCCUUUCCCAUACAGUACACAACCAUUUACUGUCCUUUACCAUACAGUACACAACCAUUUACUGUCCUUUACCAUACAGUACACAACCAUCUACUGUCCUUUACCAUACAGUACACAACCAUUUACUGUCCUUUCCCAUACAGUACACAACCAUUUACUGUCCUUUACCAUACAGUACACAACCAUUUACUGUCCUUUACCAUACAGUACACAACCAUCUACAGUCCUUUACCAUACAGUACACAACCAUUUACUGUCCUUUACCAUACAGUACACAACCAUUUACUAUCCUUUACCAUACAGUACACAACCAUUUACUGUCCUUUACCAUACAGUACACAACCAUUUACUGUCCUUUACCAUACAGUACACAACCACUUACUGUCCUUUACCAGACAGUACACAACCAUUUACUGUCCUUUACCAGACAGUACACAACCACUUACUGUCCUUUACCAGACAGUACACAACCAUUUACUGUCCUUUACCAGACAGUACACAACCAUUUACUGUCCUUUACCAUACAGUACACAACCAUCUACAGUCCUUUACCAUACAGUACACAACCAUUUACUGUCCUUUACCAUACAGUACACAACCAUUUACUGUCCUUUAUCAGACAGUACACAACCAUUUACUGUCCUUUACCAGACAGUACACAACCAUUUACUGUCCUUUACCAGACAGUACACAACCAUUUACUGUCCUUUACCAUACAGUACACAACCACUUACUGUCCUUUACCAUACAGUACACAACCAUCUACUGUCCUUUACCAGACAGUACACAACCAUUUACUGUCCUUUACCAUACAGUACACAACCAUUUACUGUCCUUUACCAUACAGUACACAACCAUCUACUGUCCUUUAUCAGACAGUACACAACCAUUUACUGUCCUUUACCAUACAGUACACAACCAUCUACUGUCCUUUACCAGACAGUACACAACCAUUUACUGUCCUUUACCAUACAGUACACAACCACUUACUGUCCUUUACCAUACAGUACACAACCAUUUACUGUCCUUUACCAUACAGUACACAACCAUUUACUGUCCUUUACCAUACAGUACACAACCAUUUAAUGUCCUUUACCAUACAGUACACAACCAUUUACUGUCCUUUACCAUACAGUACACAACCAUCUACUGUCCUUUACCAUACAGUACACAACCAUUUACUGUCCUUUACCAUACAGUACACAACCAUUUACUGUCCUUUACCAUACAGUACACAACCAUUUACUGUCCUUUACCAUACAGUACACAACCAUCUACAGUCCUUUACCAUACAGUACACAACCAUUUACUGUUUUACUGUCCUUUACCAUACAGUACACAACCAUUUACUGUCCUUUACCAUACAGUACACAACCAUCUACUGUCCUUUACCAUACAGUACACAACCAUUUACUGUCCUUUCCCAUACAGUACACAACCAUUUACUGUCCUUUACCAUACAGUACACAACCAUUUACUGUCCUUUACCAUACAGUACACAACCAUCUACAGUCCUUUACCAUACAGUACACAACCAUUUACUGUCCUUUACCAUACAGUACACAACCAUUUACUAUCCUUUACCAUACAGUACACAACCAUUUACUGUCCUUUACCAUACAGUACACAGCCAUUUACUAUCCUUUACCAUACAGUACACAACCAUUUACUGUCCUUUACCAUACAGUACACAACCAUUUACUGUCCUUUACCAUACAGUACACAACCACUUACUGUCCUUUACCAGACAGUACACAACCAUUUACUGUCCUUUACCAGACAGUACACAACCACUUACUGUCCUUUACCAGACAGUACACAACCAUUUACUGUCCUUUACCAUACAGUACACAACCAUCUACAGUCCUUUACCAUACAGUACACAACCAUCUACUGUCCUUUACCAGACAGUCAACAACCAUUUACUGUCCUUUACCAUACAGUACACAACCAUUUACUGUCCUUUACCAUACAGUACACAACCAUCUACUGUCCUUUAUCAGACAGUACACAACCAUUUACUGUCCUUUACCAUACAGUACACAACCAUCUACUGUCCUUUACCAGACAGUACACAACCAUUUACUGUCCUUUACCAUACAGUACACAACCACUUACUGUCCUUUACCAUACAGUACACAACCAUUUACUGUCCUUUACCAUACAGUACACAACCAUUUACUGUCCUUUACCAUACAGUACACAACCAUUUACUGUCCUUUACCAUACAGUACACAACCAUUUACUGUCCUUUACCAUACAGUACACAACCAUCUACUGUCCUUUACCAUACAGUACACAACCAUUUACUGUCCUUUCCCAUACAGUACACAACCAUUUACUGUCCUUUACCAUACAGUACACAACCAUUUACUGUCCUUUACCAUACAGUACACAACCAUCUACAGUCCUUUACCAUACAGUACACAACCAUUUACUGUCCUUUACCAUACAGUACACAACCAUUUACUAUCCUUUACCAUACAGUACACAACCAUUUACUGUCCUUUACCAUACAGUACACAGCCAUUUACUAUCCUUUACCAUACAGUACACAACCAUUUACUGUCCUUUACCAUACAGUACACAACCAUUUACUGUCCUUUACCAUACAGUACACAACCACAUACUGUCCUUUACCAGACAGUACACAACCAUUUACUGUCCUUUACCAGACAGUACACAACCACUUACUGUCCUUUACCAGACAGUACACAACCAUUUACUGUCCUUUACCAUACAGUACACAACCAUCUACAGUCCUUUACCAUACAGUACACAACCAUUUACUGUCCUUUACCAUACAGUACACAACCAUUUACUGUCCUUUACCAUACAGUACACAACCAUUUACUGUCCUUUACCAUACAGUACACAACCAUCUACAGUCCUUUACCAUACAGUACACAACCAUUUACUGUCCUUUACCAUACAGUACACAACCAUUUACUGUCCUUUACCAUACAGUACACAACCAUCUACAGUCCUUUACCAUACAGUACACAACCAUUUACUGUCCUUUACCAUACAGUACACAACCAUUUACUGUCCUUUACCAUACAGUACACAACCAUUUACUGUCCUUUACCAUACAGUACACAACCAUUUACUGUCCUUUACCAUACAGUACACAACCAUUUACUGUCCUUUACCAUACAGUACACAACCAUUUACUGUCCUUUACCAUACAGUACACAACCAUUUACUGUCCUUUACCAUACAGUACACAACCAUCUACAGUCCUUUACCAUACAGUACACAACCAUUUACUGUCCUUUACCAUACAGUACACAACCAUCUACAGUCCUUUACCAGACAGUACACAACCAUUUACUGUCCUUUACCAUACAGUACACAACCAUUUACUGUCCUUUACCAUACAGUACACAACCAUCUACAGUCCUUUACCAUACAGUACACAACCAUUUACUGUCCUUUAA